AUCUCGCUGGGGCCUCCAAAUGUAAUGGGAUGGCCCAUGGAGACAACCACCAGGGACUCAGAUCAAGAUUUAGGAGCCUUUAUUA
ensembl:miRNA